AUGUCGUGCAACGCCUUGGAGUUAGUGUGCUGGAAUGUUAGAGGUCUUAACAAUCCAGCCAAGAGGAAGGCUCUUAGAGGGUUCGUGGAAUCUGUCCAUGCGGCGAUCGUUUGUAUUUUAGAAACUAAGUUAGAAGUGGUGGACAAGUAUGUAAUCUUGCAAUGCAUGGGACCUAAUUAUGAUGGUUUCACUUACUUACCGGCGUCGGAGACUAGAGGAGGUAUUUUCGUGGCU
rnacentral:rRNA from 1 species